GAUGGGUUUAUUAUUUGUGUUGAAUAACCUAUGAAAAUGUGACUAUUUUAGUCAUAUAAUUUGGUAUUUUUGAUGGGUUUGUUGGUCUAUGUGAUUAAAUAGAUGCAGGUAUUAGUUGACUCUAUUUAUUUGCCUUUUUGAGAUAAGAUCACGAGGUCAAAGGAUGAGGAGCUGCUGGAUUCUUUUUGGAAGAUUUAUUCAAAGGUUUUGAAGAAUAGAGAGGAUCAUGAGAUUUUAUUUUGUUGGAUUUGAUUUGAUUGUAAAUAUAUUUUUCUCAGUUUCCUUUGAAAUAGUCUUCUCUUCUCUUCUCUUCUAUAAAAGGGAGAGAUGGACUAUUAGUUGGGAUAUCAUAGUUUUGAGUUAAUAAUUCUUUUCUUUAGUUUGUAAGCUUGGAAAUGGCCAUACGUGGCUGAAUUCUUUCAAUUCCAGCUUAAGGUUUAAUCAAGUGCUAGUUCUACCGAAGUGUUGUGAGAAUUGUUCUUCUUUUUACUCAUUUAACUCUUCAAUAUUUG
rnacentral:lncRNA from 1 species